rnacentral:misc_RNA from 1 species
UUACAAACAGUGGUAUCAAGGAGAAAUCAGUCAACCAUCGUCAACGAAAAACUUCAGCAGACAUGUACGGACCAGCGAUAACAGAAAUAAUAUUAACAACAUCACUGCAUUUCCAUUAGUCUAUGCCCUUUUGAGGAGUGAAACACAAGAAACUUACUCUUCAUUAUUAACAGUAAUACACAAUAUUUUACCUCUUCGUUAUAAUAGAAUCAGUUUUGUCACUGAUUAUGUACGAGCUCUUAUGAAUGCUAUCAGUGAAGUAUUUCCAAAUAGUCAAUUAGUAUGUUGUUGGUUUCAUUAUACAAAGAAAAGCUGAUUGUUGAUUGUUGUUGAGAAUCAGUUCUUUAUAAAAUUUCAACAGUGCAAAAAUGGCUUUAAAGUUAGAAAUUAAAUGUGCAAAAAUGAGAGGGAAAAUACAUCUAUAAUGAUAAUAGAAUGCGUACAGCAGCUGAAUCAAGACGGUGACUUAUUG